CAUUCAAGCCCCUCGCCUUUUACCGCCGCGAAGAUAUAUUUUUCGCUUUAAAAGGUUUUUCCCGUCAAUUUUUGCAAUUUCAGAGCAGCCAUUGUGUUAGGUCAUCUUUCCAAGAUAUCUCGUGCAAAGCUUCGAAGCGAUGAGUAAAAAUAUGGAAGAUGAUAUUGAACAUGGCAAAGAAGAUGAAGAUAAGUAAAUAUAUAUGGAUGGACAGAGAGAUCAUUGAAUUUUCUUCUUUGUAUUCCACUCUUAGUGAUAAAAAAACGUAUACUAUUUUUUUUUUUUAAUAUUUGUUUUAUUUGUUUAAGCUAUGUGUUAUUGACUAUUACACUUUUAGAAAGUAUGGUUACAAACUGACCCCCCCAGUUCUGUAGCACUGUCAAGAAAAUAGGGGGGACCUCCUUCGUAUUUACAAAGACAAUGCUUAAAGAACGCUGCUUGGUGGGAAAAUGGUAUGAGAUUAUAUGGCUUUCAACGUUAAUGGAGAUUUGCACCCCAGCCUCUGCUACGGCCCUGCCCCUGGACCCCUUGUUGAAAAUAGGUUUUCUAGUAAUAACAUGUUUUCUAUUGAGGGAAGGGUUUUCUCUUUCUAGUAUGAUCCCAGUAUAAACCAAGAGCAUGGAUGAAGGUUGGUUAAAAAGUUUCUAUGUAUUAAAUCCCCAGAGCUAACACAGUAUUAUACUAAAACAUAAUAUAAGACACAGCAUAUUGUGCAUUCAAAAGGUGCAAUGGGCUUUUGAAAUGAGAGAUGGGAUCUAUGAUUAUUUCACAUCACUAUUAUGUAUGGUGCUUGAUUGUGAAAACUAUAUUAUUGGACAAAUUGUUUCCACUUUCUUCCCAUUUACUCUGAAUGAAAAUUUUCUACCAGAAAGAAUUUAAAUCAUUAGAAUUCUGUUGGAGUAAAAUUGUUUAGGAGAAGAAUGAUAAGCUCAUGAAAAUGAUUUGUUUUCAAGACAUAUUGCAUCAUACAUAUGCUGUAAAAACAUUUACAACAUAACAUGUGUCCACUGCAUUUCUUUGGGAUUGAACAUUUUACCAACA